rfam:TPA: Bos taurus chromosome 12, whole genome shotgun sequence.
UCCCUCAUAGCUCAGUUGGUAAAGAAUCUGCCUGCAAUGCAGGAGACCCCGGUUCGAUUCCUGGGUUGGGAA